rnacentral:lncRNA from 1 species
AUGUGGAGAGUGGAUAGGAUACCACUGAGGUUUGGGAGGUGGAUGAGAAACCUGAGGCCUCCCAUACCGUCCUCUUUUCUCUGCCAGUCUGCUCAUCUAUUGGUACUUUCACAUGUCCUGUGGGACUCUCAGGUAAUCUUUGGUCUACAGUUUUCUGUUCUAGAUAGCUAGCAUCUAUUGAUGGCAUUCCUC